rnacentral:misc_RNA from 1 species
UCGAAUAAACUAGGUGGGUUGUUGCUGUCCCUCUCGGGGGAAUUGUGCACACCUUACCUUUUUUGUUUUUCCACCUGUGCACACACUGUAGGUCUGAAGGAGGGGAAGGGGGGGAAGUAACACUCUCCCCCUGAAACACUUUCAGGUCCUAUGUAUUUUACACAUACACUAUUAAAAGUAACAGAACGAUUCAAUGGGCUUCCAAGCCUAUAAACUAUAUA